GGAGGUGUGGCAGAGCGGACGAAUGCACCAGUCUUGAAAACUGGAGUACCCGCAAGGGUACCAGAGGUUCGAAUCCUCUCGCCUCCG
rnacentral:tRNA from 1 species